rnacentral:rRNA from 1 species
UACAGAGGUGGCAAGCGUUGUUCGGAAUUACUGGGCGUAAAGGGCGAGUAGGUGGCCAUCUAAGUCAGACGUGAAAUCCCCCGGCUUAACCUGGGAACUGCGUCUGAUACUGGACGGCUAGAGUUUGGGAGAGGGAUGCAGAAUUCCAGGUGCAGCGGUGAAAUGCGUAGAUAUCUGGAGGAAUACCGGUGGCGAAGGCGGCAUCCUGGACCAACACUGACACUGAAUCGCGAAAGCUAGGGGAGCAAACGGG